UACGUAGGGUGCGAGCGUUAAUCGGAAUUACUGGGCGUAAAGCGUGCGCAGGCGGUUUUGUAAGCCAGAUGUGAAAUCCCCGGGCUUAACCUGGGAAUGGCAUUUGGGACUGCAAGGCUGGAGUGUGGCAGAGGAGACUGGAAUUCCUGGUGUAGCAGUGAAAUGCGUAGAUAUCAGGAGGAAUACCGAUGGCGAAGGCAGGUCUCUGGGCUGACACUGACGCUCAUGCACGAAAGCGUGGGGAGCAAACAGGAUUAGAACGUACCGUAG
rnacentral:rRNA from 1 species